rnacentral:rRNA from 1 species
GAACUGAAGAGUUUGAUCAUGGCUCAGAUUGAACGCUGGCGGCAGGCCUAACACAUGCAAGUCGAGCGGAUGAAGGGRGCUUGCUCCUGGAUUCAGCGGCGGACGGGUGAGUAAUGCCUAGGAAUCUGCCUGGUAGUGGGGGAUAACGUCCGGAAACGGGCGCUAAUACCGCAUACGUCCUGAGGGAGAAAGUGGGGGAUCUUCGGACCUCACGCUAUCAGAUGAGCCUAGGUCGGAUUAGCUAGUUGGUGGGGUAAAGGCCUACCAAGGCGACGAUCCGUAACUGGUCUGAGAGGAUGAUCAGUCACACUGGAACUGAGACACGGUC